GCAGAACUGACUGCACUUAAUCGUCUUUGAUCCUCUAUGCACAUGUUUGAAUACUGUGCAAUAAAGGUGUCUAGACUAUUGGUUCUGUACUCUGGCCAUUAAGUCACUUAGGACCUUAAAAAAUAAUUAGUGUUGGGUCAGCCAUGGAUGACAUCAAGCUGUGUCCCUGUGCAUGGAUUCUGAGAGCAUUGUUUUAGGCCCUAAUGAUUCCCAUGUCUGAGUGAGACUGAGAACAACUGAUUUAGAUACAUUUAUAAACAAGCAAAUUAUAGAGUUAUGUACUUGUUUCAAAUUAACAUACAUGGUAUUACACUGUGAAUCUCACUGUGUUUUCUUUGUAGUGCCCUUGAGAGCUCUCCAUGGUGCUGCCUAGUUUAUUACAUGCAUAUUCACAGCAUCCCUGUGACCGGUAAAAUCAGGGUAAGAAGAAAGCAGAAUGAGGUCAGAAAGGAUGUCCGAAUACAUUCGUCAAAAUAAAAAGCUUCCAGAAAGGAGAGAGUUUUUCAUUCAG
rnacentral:lncRNA from 1 species